AUUGAACGCUGGCGGCAGGCCUAACACAUGCAAGUCGAGCGAGCGGCGGUCGGGUGAGUAAUGCCUGGGAAAUUGCCCAGUCGAGGUGGAUAACAGUUGGCCACGACUGCUAAUACCGCAUCCCAUCAGAUGUGCCCAGAUGGUAGUAGCUAGUAGGUGGGUUAACGGCUCACCUAGGCGACGAUCCCUAGCUGGUCUGAGAGGAUGACCAGCCAGACUGGAACGCAGACACGGUCCAGACUCCUACGGGAGGCAGCAGUGGGGAAGAUUGCACAAUGGGCGCAAGCCUGAUGCAGCCAUGCCGAGUGUGUGAAGAAGGCCUUCGGGUUGUAAAGCACUUUCAGCGGGGAGGCGUUACCCGCAGAAGAAGCACCGGCUAACUCCGUGCCAGCCGCCGCGGUAAUUC
rnacentral:rRNA from 1 species